rnacentral:tRNA from 1 species
GGGGAUAUAGCUCAGUGGUAGAGUGUUCACCUAGCAUGUGUGAGGUCCUGAGUUUGAGCCUCAGUAACACAC